GACGAACGCUGGCGGCGUGCUUAACACAUGCAAGACGAACGGAAAGGCCCUGCUUUUGUGGGGUGCUCGAGUGGCGAACGGGUGAGUAACACGUGAGUAACCUGCCCUUGACUUUGGGAUAACUUCAGGAAACUGGGGCUAAUACCGGAUAGGAGCUCCUGCUGCAUGGUGGGGGUUGGAAAGUUUCGGCGGUUGGGGAUGGACUCGCGGCUUAUCAGCUUGUUGGUGGGGUAGUGGCUUACCAAGGCUUUGACGGGUAGCCGGCCUGAGAGGGUGACCGGCCACAUUGGGACUGAGAUACGGCCCAGACUCCUACGGGAGGCAGCAGUGGGGAAUAUUGCACAAUGGGCGGAAGCCUGAUGCAGCAACGCCGCGUGCGGGAUGAAGGCCUUCGGGUUGUAAACCGCUUUCGCCUGUGACGAAGCGUGAGUGACGGUAAUGGGUAAAGAAGCACCGGCUAACUACGUG
rnacentral:rRNA from 1 species